rnacentral:lncRNA from 1 species
AAGACGCCCUGGAUUUAAAGACGUGCUAUCCCACCAGCUCCUGUAGGAGCUCAGCACCGCGUUUGGCCUGUUGCGAUCUUCCCGCUCCCCUCAUUUCUGUGCUGCAACGCCACCAUGCACGAGAAGUCAGGAUUCACUUGGCAGGGAAGACAACCAUGGAAUCCAAGGGCUGUGGACAACCAUCUACCAGAUGGUUGUUGAAGAUGCCUUCGGUCACGUCAUUUGUCCUUUUAGCUCGCCCUUUCCUUUAUCUUGAGUUGAAUUUUUGUGCAGCGCUAUGUUUGCAGUGGUAACACUGCUGCUGAGGUGUUUUCGAUUAAAAACGAUCUUAACUGUAAUAGUGAAUUCACUGAGUGUGGCUUUGUAUAACGACUUCCACGACCAUAACAUUUUUCUCCUUUGUCACAGAUAGGAGGAAAACUCUUUAGAGAGAGAUGGAGAAGGAAUUAAUUAUACCUCUGCCUCAUCCCAUGAGACCAGAAGACGUGUAGUAACUGUAAGCUGCGAUUCUCAGGAGACAUACUAAGCAUCUCUGGUUCCUUCUCGGCCUGCCCCCCUAAGGCCUUAGGGAUGAGAAAUCUUAGGCUUAAUGUUUUUCCCUAUGAAAUACUGUCGUGUUAAGGGGCGUAGCUGACUAACUGUUACGGGUCUGGUCGGAUUCGGGGUACUGAACUACCACGGUCACGGAUUCACCAAUAACGUAGCACACCCUCGCUCUAGUUGUGUUCAAUGAGAACUGUCACGGCUAGGAACAAUGCAACGAAGGGCAGUUUAUUACAGCAACAGGGACACAGGUUCUUUGGAAUUGCCGGCGAUAAAUUCACUGUCCGCAAAAGCAAGCGAGCACGCAUGAAAUACACGGCAUCCCAGUGCGGGGGGAAGAGAGGCUCAGCCCGUCGACUGAUCCCGGAAGUCAGAAAGUUUAAUUUGCCUAGUUACUUAAGGCAAUUACUCCACAAGUACCAAAAGCGAUAUGGAGAAGCCUACUUCCAGCAUCUCUGUUGGUAAUAAUAGCUUCAUACUUGUGUGCUUAUCCUCAUGCCUUUUCCUUUCAAAUACUGGAAAGGCAGAGACUGUUCAACAGAGUCAUCUCUGAUCCAAAAACCAAAACUCUGAUUUCAUCCCAAACUAAUGCUGUCUGAUGUCAGUAAAACUGCUAUUACUCUCGGUCA